rnacentral:tRNA from 3 species
AGGGGAGUGGCUCAAUGGUAGAGCAACGGUCUCCAAAACCGUCGGUUGCGUGUUCGACUCGCGUCUCCCCUGCCA